CGCGUGACGGCGUGAGGGGGUUGGACUCGGACGGCCACUACGUGCGGGCCGCCGCAAGGGGUUGCCUUGGCAACCAUGGUUCCUUCGUGGUUCCUGCCGCGCCAGCGCUGUUCCGCAAUGUCCACGAUAGCCAAACUGUGGAAAGAGCCAAGAUGUCCAUCGACAGAUGAAUGGAUAAAGAAGAUGUGAAAACUGGUGUUUAGGUUAUUGGAAGACUCCCCUGGAGCAAUCAAGAAGCCAUCCGUGCCUGGAAAGGUUCACCUGAAACGACUGUCAGCACCCACCUCCGACAACACCGACACCUACGCUGCU